rnacentral:rRNA from 1 species
GACGAACGCUGGCGGCGUGCCUAAUACAUGCAAGUCGAGCGAUGACGACUGGUGUUUGCGCCAAUUUGAAGAGCAGCGAACGGGUGAGUAACGCGUGGGCAAUCUGCCUUUGAGCGGGGGACAACAUUUGGAAACGAAUGCUAAUACCGCAUAACAACUUUAAACAUAAGCUGUAAGUGUGAAAGAUGCAAUUGCAUCACUUAAAGAUGAUCCCGCGUUGUAUUAGCUAGUUGGUGAGGUAAGGGCUCACCAAGGCGAGGAUACAUAGCCGCCCUGAGAGGGGGCUCGGCCUCACUGGGUUGGAGACACGGUCCACCCCCCUGCGGGAGGCAGCAGUAGGGGAUCUUCGGCGAAGGAAGCAAGGCGGAACGAUCAACGCCGCGUGAGUGCAGAAGGUUGUCAGAUCGUGUAACUCUGGUAGUACAGAAGGACGUUGAGCACUGUCGAAUGCUCAUAUAGUGACGGUACCUACCCAGGAAGGCACGGCUAACUACGUG